rnacentral:rRNA from 1 species
ACGAACGCUGGCGGCGUGCCUAAUACAUGCAAGUAGAACGCUGGAGGAGGAGCUUGCUUCUCUGGAUGAGUUGCGAACGGGUGAGUAACGCGUAGGUAACCUGCCUGGUAGCGGGGGAUAACUAUUGGAAACGAUAGCUAAUACCGCAUAAUAGUAGAUGUUGCAUGACAUUUGCUUAAAAGGUGCAAUUGCAUCACUACCAGAUGGACCUGCGUUGUAUUAGCUAGUUGGUGAGGUAACGGCUCACCAAGGCGACGAUACAUAGCCGACCUGAGAGGGUGAUCGGCCACACUGGGACUGAGACACGGCCCAGACUCCUACGGGAGGCAGCAGUAGGGAAUCUUCGGCAAUAGACGGAAGUCUGACCGAGCAACGCCGCGUGAGUGAAGAAGGUUUUCGGAUCGUAAAGCUCUGUUGUAAGAGAAGAACGAGUGUGAGAGUGGAAAGUUCACACUGUGACGGUAUCUUACCAGAAAGGGACGGCUAACUACGUG